GAUCCUCCACAUGGAAGCACCGUUCAGCUCCGGUUAUCUUCUCCGGGCAGCUCCUUCGCUUAUCUCAUUCUCUCGCGAACCAAGCCCUAGCUUAUGCUGGCUUUCUCUCUUUUCCUCGAAUGAAUUUCUCGAGAGCUUGUGUGAAUGAAGAUGAGGUGCAAAGACCCUUGCAACAGCAACUCCCAAAACGGCGUCGUCCCACUAAAGUGCAG
rnacentral:lncRNA from 1 species